rnacentral:rRNA from 1 species
GACAGAGGGUGCAAACGUUGUUCGGAUUUACUGGGCGUAAAGCGCGUGUAGGCGGCCUUGCAAGUCGGAUGUGAAAGCCCACGGCUCAACCGUGGAAGUGCAUCCGAAACUGCAUAGCUUGAGUCUCGGAGAGGAAGGUGGAAUGCUUGGUGUAGAGGUGAAAUUCGUAGAUAUCAAGCAGAACACCUGCGGCGAAGGCGGCCUUCUGGACGAUGACUGACGCUGAGACGCGAAAGCGUGGGGAGCGAACAGG